CAUAGUGUUUCAUGCUUUCCAGGCUUAUAUAUCUUGUGUUUUUGUCCGGUUUUGACAUUUGAUUGGAUUUUUGAUUUUGUGGAUUUGCCCUUCUUGGAUUUUUUUCUCCCUCGACUGCCUUCUUGUGUAUGACUAUGCUGAAACACUUGCCUUGAUUAAGGCAAUGGUUAAAACGGAUUCACUCUUCAGUGGGAAGAGAGCAAAAUUAGGCUGGGAGCAGGUGGUGAAGGAGAUUGGGCUAGAGGGGCAGGUGACUGCCAUACAGUCCUCAAAAAAAUGGGAUAAUUUGAAAACCAAAUACAAGGUAGGCCAAGGCAAAUCAUAUGGCUGGGCACUGUGGUGGGCUAGUGUUUGUGGAUAUUCCCUUGUACAUUCAAAACAGUCUUACGUUGGCUACCCCAGUCUUACGGAAAUUUAAUGUGCCUAUUACUUAUCUAACAUUACACAUUUGAUUAAUUUUCAACAUUUGAGGCAAUUGUGAGUAGACACAAUGUUUAUAAUAAUGCUUUUAUUUACAAAGUGCUGUACAAAGAUCAUAGACAAUACAGGGACAUGUUGAAUGGCUUGUAACUAUUCCAUUAGGCCUUUUGGUCACUGCAUUCUGCCCCAACUACCCUUUCAGUAACAUUCUUUUAUCUAUGGUGUUAAUAGUGCAAAUUAAUUUCAGAAUUGAUAGAAAAUGUAACCAGAAACCCAUGCAUUACCCUAAAAAAAAUUAAAAUAGUCAUGAUCCUGCAGUGCGGGGGGGACAUUGGUCUGGGGCUGAUGCAUGUGCUGCCAGCCUGUCCCUGAAAUGCUGACCCCCAUUCUCAUCCCCUUGUACAUGUGGUGGUGGAGGCACAGGAUCCUCUUCAUCAGCUAGCUCCAAGAUGUCCCAGCAGUGAGACAUAUGUUAUGGAGCAUUGCACACACUGCCACAACAUUCGGAGCAAAGGUGUGAUCCACUUUUAGGGCUUUGAAGAAGAUCCCUCGCCACUGUACCUUCAUGCCGAAGGCCCUCUCUACAAUGCAUCGCCCUCUGGCAUGGUAAGCAUUAUAGGGCACCUCCACUCUUCCCCUCACUCGUUCACAGUAUGGGGUAAUGAGGGUCACAGAUGUCCCCCAUCCCCAACGAUGAAAAAACCAGCUGGUGGGUAACAGCCCCUGACAAACACUGGACUAUUUCGUGGACUGAACCAGGAUAGCCCACAAAUGUCCAGAAAUUUGCCAGUGCUGUCACAAAUCGCCUGCAGCUGGACUGAGUGGAACAGUUUCCUGUUCAGUUAAUCUGGUGCAUGAGGACCAUGGGGAGCCUUAUUCGGAUGUGGCAUCCAUCAAUGGCUUCCACACAGCGGCUGAAGGCUGGGCUGUUGGCUAGGUAUUGAAAGCCAUUGCUUACUUCAGCACACUGUGUGAGAGUUGGAAAGUGGACAACUUUUUCCAGGUGGGAAAGAAGUGUGUCACACAUCCGAUGCACAACGUCAAAGACAGUUGACUUGGGGACAUCGAAGACCCGGGAGACAACAGUGCAAGAAGACCCAUGUGCCAGCCAGUAGACCACCAGGAGGACCUCCAUGAACUGCCCUCAGUGCCUCAAUCGAUGGCCUACUCAGGCGGUAGUCAAAGUUCAGAUCUCGUGUUUGAUCAAAAAAGAUCUGAACAAGG